ACAUGUGUAGUGGUGUCAGCAUCUCUUCAAAUAUAGCUCCCUUCACGUUGGACCCUCUCAGGUUGGCUUCUUGAAGAUCACACCCAGACAGAUCACAAUUCUGCAAGAUGAAAACAAUGUUCAGAUGCGACUGUCUAGUUGCAAGAAAACAAACUCAGGGCUCCCACUGAUUCUACAUUAUGUUUCUUGCAGAGAAAUCUACUAGAGAACAAGUUUCAGAUAACCACUGGAAACAUAACAAA